rnacentral:rRNA from 1 species
GCGUAGGAAUCUACCUAGUAGUACGGAAUAGCCAUUAGAAAUGGUGGGUAAUACUGUAUAAUCCCCGAGGGGGAAAGAUUUAUCGCUAUUAGAUGAGCCUACGUUAGAUUAGCUAGUUGGUGAGGUAAUGGCUUACCAAGGCUAUGAUCUAUAGCUGGUCUGAGAGGACGAUCAGCCACACUGGAACUGAGAUACGGUCCAGACUCCUACGGGAGGCAGCAGUGGGGAAUAUUGGACAAUGGGCGAAAGCCUGAUCCAGCUAUGCCGCGUGAGUGAAGAA